rnacentral:rRNA from 1 species
UACCCUACGGGAGGCAGCAGUGAGGAAUAUUGGUCAAUGGGCGGGAGCCUGAACCAGCCAAGUCGCGUGAGGGACGACGGUCCUAUGGAUUGUAAACCUCUUUUGUCGGGGAACAAAGGCGCCCACGGGUGGGCGGAUGAGUGUACCCGAAGAAAAAGCAUCGGCUAACUCCGUGCCAGCAGCCGCGGUAAUACGGAGGAUGCGAGCGUUAUCCGGAUUUACUGGGUGUAAAGGGAGCGUAGGUGGCAUGGUAAGCCAGAAGUGAAAACCCGGGGCUCAACCCCGCGGAUUGCUUUUGGAACUAU